rnacentral:rRNA from 1 species
AUUGAACGCUGGCGGCAUGCCUUACACAUGCAAGUCGAACGGCAGCAUGAUCUAUCUUGCUCGAUUGAUGGCGAGUGGCGAACGGGUGAGUCAUACAUCGGAACGUGCCCUGUAGUGGGGGAUAACUAGUCGAAAGAUUAGCUAAUACCGCAUACGACCUGAGGGUGGAAGUGGGGGACCGCAAUGCCUCAUGCUAUAGGAGCGUCCGAUGUCUUAUUAGCUAGUUGGUGAGGUAAAGGCUCACCAAGGCUACGAUCAGUAGCUGGUCUGAGAGGACGAUCAGCCACACUGGGACUGAGACACGGACCAGACUCCUACGGGAGGCAGCAGUGGGGAAUUUUGGACAAUGGGCGAAAGCCUGAUACAGCAAUGCCGCGUGUGUGAAGAAGGCCUUCGGGUUGUAAAGCACUUUUGUCCGGAAAGAAAUGGCUCUGGUUAAUACCUGGGGUGGAUGACGGUAACGGAAGAAUAAGGACCGGCUAACUACGUG